GGGGCUGUUCUGGAUUCGACGGGAUUGUGAAGUUUCAGAAUCAUGUAGAGUGGGAAGACUCUUAAAUAACUUCAAAUUAAAUAUAAAUGCAAAAGAUGCGUUUUUUGGCCGUUCAACAAACAACGGCGUAGCUUUAGCAGCUUAAUAACCUGAUCUAAAGCGGUCGGUGUGGAUUUCCACUAGCGAUGAAACACCCACUUUUAUAAUUAUCCUUAGCUAGUGAAUAGUAAUUGAGUUUUGAUGGGGCUUGUUACUAUUAUUUACCAUCUAGCGAUGUAGAUUUUGUUUUAUUUUUUACUACUAGCGAAAUUCUAAAUAAAACUAAACAUGUAGUAUUCUGUAAUGGAGUGAUUUCGGACAGGGGUUCAAAUCCCCUCAGCUCCACCA
rnacentral:tmRNA from 1 species